CAAACAACUAGAUGUAAUAUGAAAGCAUAGAGUUAACUUCAUGGUAAAAUUUUAAGAGGCAGAAUGGAAGAUUUAGUCUGCCAUAUAACAAAUCUGCAUUGUCGAUGCUGUAAUUUGUCUGUUUUGGUCUGUUAUUGAGAAUUUUCAUUUCCUCAGCUGAAUGCCGAUUUACUAAGGCCUGGGACAUCUGCAUUUGCAGAAUGGUAGAUUCUCAAUUCAAUUAAUCUUUGAUUUCAACCAUGUGUGUGAUUUUUCUUUUCUUUUGUAGACUUUUUUUCUUUAAGCUCAGGAAUACAUUUAUUUUAAUUGCAUUGAUUGAAUCUUUUUCCCUGAAAAUAGUAUGUCUGUCAGUUUGAGUGGAUGAUGCACCGAUUCUUUUGAUAAUACAAAAUUCAAUUAUAUAUUCAAACUUUUGGUUACUGAGUGUGUUUAAGUUACAGAAUGUAACAUAGAUGUUGUAUAGAUAGAUUGAUAAGAAGUAUUGACUUGCAAGUGUAUCUUCAUAGGAUAUUGGAUUUGAAGUAAAUGUAAAAUUUUUAACUUGAAACUUUGCUCUUACAUGAUAAAAUCAAAUUCUGAAUAUAAGAACAAAAAGGUAAGCACACCGAUAUUGUGAUUUUUGUUGAGAUGUACUCUACCGACAUCAGAUUCAAUAAAAACUUGAUGGGACUCUCUGGUUUGUCUGUUAAGAGUAGAUAUUGUUGGUAACAUAUAUGGUCGUUGGGGAGUGUACUAUGUCCAAUUCUGACUUUGUUGGAUAAUCAAGUCUGCACGAUCUCAUGCAAUGUCAUCAUUUAUUUUGCAGUUUAUUGACAUAUGGGUCUCAGUUUUAUUAAUUGCUGCUGUUCCAACUUGGCUUAUUGUUUCUAAUUGCUGGUGUUUGUAAGAGGGGUGUUAUUUUGAAAAUAGGUUCCUUAUUUUGAAAACAGGCUUUCUUAUUCUUUCAAGUGCAAAACCUUGGUGAUAUUUUCAUUCAAUUUCUGGUCUGAACCAAAACUUAGCAACUAGCUUUCAUUGUCUAACAAUGGCAUUUAGUUCUAACAACAAAACUAUGAACUGGGUUUGUUUGCAUUUGCUUCUUCUACCGAUAUUCUCGGCAAAUGCAGUUCACUGUGGCACACUGGUCAAGUCUCUUUCAUGAUUCGAUGGUGAACUUCCUUUCAAGCUCUCCACUAGAAGACAUACGACUGUUAACGGAUCAGAGAUGUUUUACUACUUUAUUGAGUCAAAGGGAGACUCCAAAGUAGACCCUUUGUUGCUUUGAUACGGUAAAGGCCGUGGUUAUUCUGCUUUCAGUGGCCUCAUUUAUUAAAAUGGUCCUUUGGAUUUCAACUUUACAGAGUAUGAUGGAGGUAUACCAAAAACUUUUACUACCCAUACUCAUGGACAAGGGUUGGUAUCUUCCCACUUUCGUUAAGCUUCUGUUUUAUUGAUCUUAGUUUUCUGACAAAAUUGAUAUUUGUAGCAAAUUUUCAGAAUGUAAGUACAUUGUUUAUAGAUGACCUGUUGCCACUGGUUUCUUCUAUGCAAUUGAUGCAAAAGAAUAUGCUACCUCCGAUACAAAAACAGCAUCACAGGUUUACGCCUUUUUCCAAUCAUGGUCUCAAGCUUCAAAUUAUUUGUUGGGGCUGAUUCGUAUGCCAUUGUCGUUAAACAUAUUAUAGUUGGUAAUGAUGCCGGAGCAUCACCACGCCUCAAUCUCAAGUCCUAUUAAAUCAUGUCAAUCUGAGAUUUCUAAUGAGCAAUUUGCAAAAGCAUUCAAUCCUUCACUCCACUUGAGAAAGAUGCAAUGACAUGAAGAAAGAUGCAGCAGACAUGAAGAAAUCAACUGGACACAUCAGAGGAGUCAAUGUAAAAUAGUUGGUUCUAAGUUCUAACUACAACCAUAGAACACUUUUGCUAAGCCUAACCAUUUUUUUGCAAUAUGUAUGUAUCUGGUUAACAUACCAGAUUUUGGAAUCUAUAGAAGAUAUUUUGGUUACUUGUAUAAAGUUUCGAAUGUUCGUAUUUGCUGUAGUUAAACAUAUAACAUACCCGCGACAUAGCAUGGGGUUGAUUUCUAGUGUUGUUUAUUGUUCAACAAAGUAAUG